CGGGGGGUGCGAGCGUUGUCCGGAAUCACUGGGCGUAAAGGGCGCGUAGGUGGUUUGAUAAGGGUGUGGUGAAAGUCCGGGGCUCAACCCCGGAUCUGCCGUGCCGACUGUCAAACUCGAGGGCUGUAGAGGCAGACGGAAUUCCGGGUGUAGCGGUGGAAUGCGUAGAGAUCCGGAGGAAGACCGGUGGCGAAGGCGGUCUGCUGGGCAGUUUCUGACACUGAUGCGCGACAGCGUGGGGAGCAAACAGGAUUAGAUACCCUGGUAGUCCACGCCGCAAACGAUGGGUACUAGGUGCCUGGGGGAGCGACCCUCUGGGUGCCGGCGCUAACGCAGGAAGUACCCCGCCUGGGGAGUACGACCGCAAGGUUG
rnacentral:rRNA from 1 species